UCGUGGUCGACUACCUCACCAACUAGGUCGCCGACAAUCCCCUCCUUCCCUGGCCGCGCUUUCGCCUUCACCAACAUCUACGGCACCGAGCCGUGGAAUCUUCUUGGCAGCGAUCGGCAAGAGGGAUUCUUUGUGGAGCGUAAGCCCGAGAAUAGCGAAAGGCCGGAACCGGUUCUAUCAAAACGGUUGAGUCCACGUUCAAAAAGCAAGAACUUGGGUCGAGUCCAUCCCGGCAGCCCAUCUCGGCCCCGGAAGAACCGAGCCUCAUAGGUUUUUCAAACCCUAAGGUUACGAAUGGGUUCUUCCACUCUGUAAAAAAGCAAGAAAUCGGUCGGCUUUCCUUUUACGAAUGGGUGCGAGAUCGUGGGUGGGACGAAAGAGCUGACUUUCCUUUAACGACGGCCGGCGAAAGAGGGUGGACGAUGGACGAGAUGAGAUGUGUUCUUCCCGGUUUCGAGAGACGAGUUCUCUGAAGAUCUUGCAUCAGGCCACCUCCGACGGCACCACCGUCAAAACAAAUGUCAAAUAAGCCGGAAGAACACAUCUCGUAUUCGUACAUCGUCCACCCGGAGUUCUUCUGUCGGUAGUCAUUGAUGCUCUUUCACCUCACCACCAUCUCGCGCCCGGCGACGGUUUUGUUGACUAGUUCUUGCUUUUUGUCCAGAGUCUAAGAACCGGUGCCGGCCUUUCGAUCUACGCGCGAGCCGUCCGCAAAGAAGUAUCCCUCCUGCCGAUCGCUGCCAAGAAGACGUCAGCGAAGGCGACAGCGUGGACAGGGAAGGGUGUGCCGAUGGAGCAGAUACUUCAAGAUGGAUCAGAGUGAUAUCAGCAGAGAAAUAGGAUGGCUGGAUCCAAACAGCACUCAUCAACAAGAAAUCAGCAGCAGAAUAGGGCGGAAGGCUGCGAAACAAAACAUUCUAGUUAGUGGAGAAGUCAUCAACAAACCGUAGUUCCUUUGACUAUCCUUACUGUUCCAUCGACUACCCUUACUGCUCCAUUGACUACUAAGCUGCAUAAGUCUGUUAGCAAUACUAACUCUGCUUAUUUAGAUCGUGUUACUGAAAAGAAGCUCUUGGGGAAGUACUAAAUGGUGAUCGGGUCGAUGCUCCAUAUGAGUUCAAUUUUCUGGAGGAAAAGCAGUUAAAGUCUCUUUGUGAGAAAAACUUAUCAAAGGAAGAUGUUGCAAAGUUCAGACAUGCUGUAUCAAGGGACUACUACUUUGAAAUGUAUUAUGAUGAUAUGCCUCCAUGGUGAUUCUUGGGCAAGACUUAAGAGGGACAAGACUGAUUCAGGCAAAGACAAUCACUUGUUCUUUAAACACAUCCACUUGAAUAUUCUUUACAAUGAUGAUAGGGUUAUAUAGAUCAAUGUCCAACAUUAUUGUGGAUAUCUUGGAGGAUAAGGAAUUCGAUGUAGAGUUUUUAUAUUCUGUUACAUGGAAAAAGAUUGACAUAUCUUUUGAAGAAAGGAUAUUGACCAUCUGCUUUCUGCUUGAUUGCCUGAUAGCGUAUUGGACGAUUACGAAGAUGGUGAUAUCUGCAUUGCAUUUGGCGAAGUGCUUCGCAGUGCCAUAUCUUCAGGACGUCGUGUGGUUUGCCAUGUCAGUUUCUCGUUCUGCUUCCACAUUUACAAAGUCCGCCUCUUGCUUUGACUACAAUCUUUUUACUCAUCUUCUUGGAUUUGUUAGAAAUUUUAGCUACAUUAGUCUAUCUUUGAAGCAGAUCAUUCAUAAAAUUUAAAAGGUCAAGUGCCCAGUUUUUGUAAUUCAUGUAAGUGCUUUGUUUUAAAUAUAUGCGUUUUGUCCUGCAAACAA